AUAAAUGUAAUGAUGAGGAAAAGUAAACUCCAACCGGUUCCCAGAGAGAGGGUGCCAGUGGCUGGAAGCGCCUUUGUAUACGGGGAGUUGAAAACCACCUCUAAACAGCCGUGUUGAAAACCAUACAGUAAAUACGGCCGGCCGGCACCGUUACACGCCUUUAAGUAAAGCUCCUUUGAGGCUUAAAUCAGGGUGGAACCGUGGGAUAAACAGCCCGCCCCUGGC
rnacentral:ncRNA from 1 species